UUUGGAGAUUUGCCUUAUUUGUAAAUACGAAGAUAUGAAAUUUAAUCUGUUUUUUUUUUCAGGCUUUCCAUGGAUAAGGUGAUAGCUUUAAGGGUAUAUGAUAUUUUGAUGUUUGGAUGGUUUUCAUGAGGAAAUCGAUGAUAUGUGUUUCACUUGAAGUUAAUCGCGGAAAGGCUUUCCGAAGAAGAGGUUCACAAUCUUAGAGAAGCCUUCAAGAUUGUAGACAAUGAGAAGAGCGAGAGAGUUACUUAUAAAGCGUUCUUGGAAGAUUCGACACCAAUCUUGACAACUUGGAUAUCAACAGACUGCCACAAUGCUUGGAUCCCUAGCUAUAACAGUAUGUACAUAUGGGAAAUUGAAUUUGGAGUUUGAGGUUUGAAUGAUAGGUGUCUGCAUUCAGCUUGGCUUUGAGGACCAAUCAGACACUGUCACGCUUUUGUGUAAUUUCUUCAUCAAGAUGUCACACUGUCACACAUAUAUCAAACUAAACAUUAAACUUGGUGGAGACUUGAUGGGUGUAGACAAGCUCCUCCUAGACUCUAAGGUUGUUCCAUUCUUCGAUGAGGGAGAGAAAGCUGUGUGUUUAAUGGCAGCGACUCAGUCUCAUUUAUUGGUGAACAUCUCUCACUGUCUCUCCUCCGGACGGUUGUUUAUCAGUCUCCUCUAUACCCUAAUGCUUGAAUAAUGGACCAGAUUGAAGAUUUUAGUCAGAACAGAAAGAGAGAUGGAGGAUACUUUAAUGCUGAUGGGAACUUUGUAUAAUAUGUUAGCAUUGGGCCUUUUAUAUUUGUUUUUGUUCAUGCUUCACCUCAUAUUUGUUGAUGGCUUUACUCUGGGUUUAUUUCAACAAGUUGAGGAUGAAAUGAAUAAAUGUUUCCUUUUUUGACAAAAGUAUAAAUCUUUACUUUAAAGAUCA